GGCGCCAUAGCCAAGUGGUAAGGCAGAGGUCUGCAACACCUUUAUCCCCAGUUCAAAUCUGGGUGGCGCCUCCA
rnacentral:tRNA from 14 species